AUGCAGAAUGUGAUUAACAAGGUGAAGGGAAAGUCACUGGAAGUGGCUGAGUACCUGACCCCGGUCCUCAAGGAAUCAGUUUAAGGAAACAGGUGUAAUCACCCCAGAAGAGUUUGUGGCAGCUGGAAAUAACAUAGUCCACCACUGUCCAACAUGGCAAUGGGCUACAGGGGAAGAAUUGAAAGUGAAGGGAUACCUACCCACAGGCAAACAAUUUUUGGUAACCAAAAAUGUGCUGUGCUAUAAGCCGUGCAAACAGAUGGAAUAUUCAGAGGAAUUGGAAGCUAUCAUUGAAGAAGAGGAUGGUGAUGGCGGAUGGGUAGAUACACAUCAUAACACAAGCAUUACAGGAAUAACGGAAGCAGUUAAGGAGAUCACACUGGAAAACAAGGACAGUGUAAAACUUCAAGAUUGCUCAGCACUAUGUGAAGAGGAAGAAAAGGAAGAUGAAGGAGAAGCUGCAGAUAUGGAAGAAUAUGAAGAGAGUGGAUUGUUGGAAGCAGAUGAGGCUACCCUAGAUACAAGGAAAAUAGUAGAAGCUUGUAAAGCCAAAACUGAUGCUGGCGAUGAAGAUGCUAUUUUGCAAACCAGAAUUUACGACCUUUACAUCACUUAUGAUAAAUAUUACCAGACUCCACGAUUAUGGUUGUUUGGCUAUGAUGAGCAACUGCAGCCUUUAACAGUUGAGCACAUGUAUGAAGACAUCAGUCAAGAUCAUGUGAAGAAAACAGGGACCAUUGAAAAUCCCUCUCAUCUACCACCACCUCCCAUGUGUUCAGUUCACCCAUGCGGGCAUGCUGAGGUGAUGAAGAAAAUAGUUGAGACUGUUGCAGAUGGAGGGGGAGAACUUGGAGUUCAUAUGUAUCUUCUUAUUUUCUUGAAAUUUGUACAAGCUGUCAUUCCGACAAUAGAAUGACUACACAAGACAGUUCACAAUGUAA